rnacentral:rRNA from 1 species
GUGGGGAAUCUUAGACAAUGGGCGCAAGCCUGAUCUAGCCAUGCCGCGUGAGCGAUGAAGGCCUUAGGGUUGUAAAGCUCUUUCGCUGGGGAAGAUAAUGACUGUACCCAGUAAAGAAGCCCCGGCUAACUCCGUGCCAGCAGCCGCGGUAAUACGGAGGGGGCUAGCGUUGUUCGGAAUUACUGGGCGUAAAGCGCGCGUAGGCGGAUUGGAAAGUUGGGGGUGAAAUCCCGGGGCUCAACCUCGGAACUGCCUUCAAAACUCCCAGUCUUGAGUGCGAGAGAGGUGAGUGGAAUUCCGAGUGUAGAGGUGAAAUUCGUAGAUAUUCGGAGGAACACCAGUGGCGAAGGCGGCUCACUGGCUCGAUACUGACGCUGAGGUGCGAAAGCGUGGGGAGCAAACAGGAUUAGAAACCCGGGUAGUCC